UUGUAAGUACUUUUUCCAUAUGGAUCCCAAAUAUUCAUAUGUACAAGUUCAAAAGGGGAUACAGUUUUCUCAGUACUAAUGGGGAAAGGGGAUCUAGUCUGACUUGAUAAAGGACAUAUAUAUAUAGUACAAGACAGAGAUCUUUUAUGAGACAAAUGACCCUUCAAAGAAGAAUUUUUUUGCAAUACUGCUAUUGGUGCAUGACCAAGUCAUUGAUGCCAAAUAGAACAAAGAUCUGCAUGAUUGGAAGAGAAACAUUGUUGUGAGUUAGGUGCAGUUGAAUGCAGCACCUACUGAUCUUAGGUGCAGUUGAUUAGGCCCCUAUCCAAUUCUUGUACAAGAAUUUUCUGCAUGUUCGUAAAAGGUCCUGCGUUCAGCAAGCUAAUUUUAUAUGCGACUUUUUUGUCGAGCAGCUUCUCAGCAUGUAACUAAUCAAACCUUUUUGAACAGUUAAGCUUAAGCUGAUCUUAUUAUGAAUUUUGUUCACUGAAUAUUCAAGAUUAGUCCAAACAUUUUUUUGCAAAAACUGUGGUGUAUCAUUACUACGGACAUGCUUUAUUUUGCUGAAUGAAAAUGACCAAAGUUUAAUGUCACAAUUGUUUGUUUUAUUGUUUAUUCUUUCUUAGCUAGCGUUUGGCCAUAGAUUCCCAAAUUUGUUUUGAAAAAUUUGAGUUGGGUGAAAUUUUGUUUGAAGAUGAAAAUGUGUUUGGACAUACGUUUUCAACACAUAUUUCCCAAAUUUAUUUUGGAAAAACAUGUAUAUUAUUAGUGGUUGUGAAUAUUUUGGCCAAAAACCAGCUAUUGAGCUGGAUAUAUGGCCAAACAUGUGUUUGCCAAAUAAAACCCAAGUUUAUUUUGGCAAAAUCUAUGGUCAAACAUGUGUUUGCCUAAUAAAACCCAAGUUUAUUUUGGCAAAAUCUAUAACCAAACGGGUCCUUAGAAAGUUUAUUUAUUUGUCGUUCCAUACUCGUAUUUAUCUGACGUGAUUUCUGAUUGUAAAAACCUCUUAAAAAGUUUUCAGUUUCUGUCUGUUGUUCGAAGGUCUGCGAAUCAGGUUGCUCAUGCAUUAGCACGAGUGGCUGAUUCUAUGUCAGGCUCGAUGGAGUGGAAUGCUAGCCCUCCAUCCUUUAUUGUAGAUGCUUUAAAUUUUGAUUUGAAUAAUUAAGAUGAUCGUUGUUUCAAAAAAAAAAAACUUGAAAAAAUAUGACACAGUGUCUAUUUUAUUGUUACCGUCCAAAAAUAGUACUUCCUUUUUAGAAGAAAGUAUAACAUUACUAAAUAUAGAUGUUUGCACAUUAACAAUUUACUAAAUGUAAAGUGUAAACGUAUGUACAAAAGAAAACUAGUAACAAAGAAAAUUGUGUAUCAUCUUUCCUUUGUGUAUUUGGUAUGAGAAAAAUAUCUUUACAAAAAUACUUUUGAGAAAAUAAGUAGUAUGUUGGUUGUUUGAAAAUACUUUCUAAGGAAAACAUUAGCUAUAACAAUUUCGACAAUGGACAUACUGAAAUCAACAAUUGAAUUCACAUUAUCGAUUAAUUUAUAGAGCCAUUUUACUCAUAAAUAGAAGAAUAUUAUUCUUCUGGAGCAUCUUUCAUUUUACUUGGAUUUCAAGGUCAUAGCUCCAGUUAUACAAGUUCCUUUAACACUACUCAAUUCACUUGUAAAGCCAACCUAAGAUGGUAAAAGAGAUGCAAUGAUCUACAACCAUUUUGUCCAAACAAGCUUUGCUUGUGCGCAUCUUGACUAAAUAAUUACCAGCUGCUUGCCACAUCCCUUUUUUAUCCCUCCAAAAGAUAAUGUGUGUUAUGGAUUGUGGGUUAAAGAGUUUUUCCAAUUAAAGUGACAAACUUGAGUAGGAAUUAUUUUAUUUACAGAGUCGCCACUUGGAAUUGAUUUUUAGGUGUUCCAAGUCACUUUUUAUUUGAAUCCCUAGUCAAAAGAAGGUUUGAUUCUAUUUUUUAUAGUUCUGCAAAAACAAAGAUCAGGUAAGGAAUUCUGUUGACCGGGGAGAAGGUGUAAGGCAUUCCCGAGUCCUUUGGUUCUAGCACGGUCGCUUUAUUGACCACAUUUGGCUUAAAUUAAUUUUGGAUAAACGGUGAUUUAUUUGUCUUAGAUUACUAUUGUCUAUCACCGCUUAAUAAGUAAUCGAAUUUUAAUGAAUUCGGCCUAGGAGCGUGUAAGCACACAAAGUCUUUUUAUCACGUGUGUUUAAACCAAGGAACGAGUAUGAACACAUGGCUAAACACGGUUUAUUCAUGUGAAUGUCCGGAGUUAUGGAAUAACUGAGGAAAAUGGGUGAGCUUUGUAUUCAAAAAUCAGACCUAACACAUCCUUUAUUACCUACGGCCCAUUUCAAUUAAAAGCAAAUAAAACCAAUCUCGCGCAGUUCUACAAUUAUCACAAACGCCAAUCUCAUAUUAACAACCAACAAACAAUAUUCACUUGCCUUGAUAAUUAUUCAACUCAUGUUAUAUCACUAAAAUAAAGAGCUGAUAGUCCUAGGUUUAUUUGAGCACAAAACUAAAUUAUUAAAACAUUCAAGUAUGGUUACCAACUCAAGAUUAAGAGGCAUGGCAGAACAAUCCCAAAAUAAUUUGAAAGAAACACAUGAAUAUGAAGCAUUAUAACUUAACGAGAAAUGGGUGAGAAAUUGAACCUCAAAGCAAUAGCUCCUUCAAGUUAAACAAUGACGGCACAUAUACAAACCAAAAUUGGAACUCUCGACGUCGACGACGGGAACUCGACAGAAGCUCAAACGGACCUUGUCCGAUAUGGUUUUUGCGAUGUUUACCAGCUAAUUUUUUGGAGCUGUUUAAGGACGAUUUUCAUGGCUUUUCAGGGGUAAUUUCUGGGCUGUUUUGGGAGGGAAAAAAUAGGCAAUAGCUGCUGCGUUUUAGUCCGAGUUUCGGGACUAUUUGGUGCUGAUUUUCAGCUGAGUUUUAGAGGUUGUUUUGACUGAGAUUUGGGUUCAUUUUAGUGAUGUUUUGGUGGCUGAUUUGAAGACGUUUUUGGGGGUGUUUUGGAUGGCAUUUCACUGCUGAUUUUGACCCGCUUUCAUGGUGUUUUAUGGCCAGAAAAUAGGGGCUGGUUUAAAGGUGGCUUUUGACGAAGCUUUUCGGCUCUAAUGAGG
rnacentral:lncRNA from 1 species